rnacentral:sRNA from 1 species
GCCAGAUGUGGUGGUGCAUGCCUGUAAUCCCAACGACUUGGGAGGCUAAGGCAGGAGGAUUGUGAGUUCAAAGCCAGCCUCAGCAAUUCAGUGAGGCUCUGAGCAACUUAGCGAGACCCUGUCUCAA